GAGCUAAAUAUAAUGAUAAUAUAUAGUUAUUAGAUUUGGUGUAGCAAAACCAUACCCAAAAUUAUAUUUAGGGGUGACAGGCCUCUCAAAAACUAGGAUAUCUUGAUUCCAAUAAAAUGUAUUUAGUACAGAUAAUACAUUUAUUAAGUGUUUAGGCUUAAUAACAAUAUUAAUUUAUACUCUACGUAUUAUUACGUUUUAAUAAAUAAAUAUAUUACAACCAUAAUAUUCUUCUAUGAAUGCUAUAGUUAGUAAUUGGAUACAACAAAAUAAUAUAUAUUGUGGAUAAUGUUGGUAUUAGUAUUAUAUGUAAGUUUUUAUAAGGAACUCGGCAAAAGUGUUUCUCAACUGUUUAUCAAAAACAUAACUAUGUGUAUAUAUUCGUAGCGGUUUCUGCUCAAUGAUUUAUUAAAUAGCCGCAGUAUACUGACUGUGCAAAGGUAGCAUAAUCAAUUGACUUGUAAUUGAAGUCUGGAAUGAAGGAAAGUAUGGGGAGCCACUGUCUCAAAAAAAUACGGAGAAUUUAUUUAUGAAGUGAAAAUCCUUCUACAUAACAUAAGGGACGAGAAGACCCUAGAAAAUUUUAGUAAUAUUAGAUGUAUCUCUAGUAAUUUUUCGCUGGGGCGGCGGAGUAACAUUGAACUUACUUAUAUCAACAUGCGCCUUGUUUGGCAAUUGAUAAAUUUACUCUAGGGAUAACAGCAUAAUAUUUAAAAGUUUGUGACCUCGAUGUUGGACUAGGACAUAAUAACCUAAAAGGUUUUUUAUAGUGCUCUGUUCGAGCAUAAACUCCUACAUGAUCUGAGU
rnacentral:rRNA from 1 species